AUUGAACGCUGGCGGCAUGCCUAACACAUGCAAGUCGAGCGAGCGGCGGACGGGUGUGUAUUGUAUGGGGACUGCCCGCUAGAGGGGGAUAACUCCUGGAAACGGUAGCUAUUACCGCAUACUAUCGGAUACCGCAUAUGGGAUUAGCUAGUAGGUGCGGUAAUGGCUCACCUAGGCGACGAUCCCUAGCUGGUCUGAGAGGAUGAUCAGCCACACUGGGACUGAGACACGGCCCAGAAUCCUACGGAGGCAGCAGUGGGGAAUAUUGCACAAUGGGCGCAAGCCUGAUACAGCCAUGCCGCGUGUAUGAAGAAGGCCCUAGGGUUGUAAAGUACUUUCAGUCGGGAGGCGUUACCGACAGAAGAAGCACCGGCUAACUCCGUGCCAGCAGCCGCGGUAAUAC
rnacentral:rRNA from 1 species